AUCCUAAGUCUGACGUCAUAUCAGAGCUUGCCAAAGUAAACCCAUAGAUGAACCUUUUGGAAAAAUCUAUUCAUUCAAUGUAAACACUCAGAAGUAAUUUUAAGUUUAGAUUAUUGCAUGUUGUGCUCACAAAUUGGACUAUUGAAGUGAUUAUUCGUAUAAUCUGAGUUUUUAGACAAAGUUAGCAGUCGAGUAUAUAAUCUUAGGUUAACAGUUAUGUACUCCACUCCCGACUAUAAACAUUAUGGCAAAAAAAUAUUUGCUAGCUCUUUAUAUUUCCUGCAAAGCCUGAGGGUCGGAAAGCUUGGAUAGAACUAAUAAGUUGUUCUGUUUAGAAGAAUAACAAUACAAAAGAAAAGACAAGGAACCUUCAAAACAUUGUCUGGAUAAGCAUGUCCACUUCUAUGUGUCCAAUGACUUCUAAGAGCUCAAUCAGUCACAUUGAUUUAUAUGAUGCUGGACCAUUUUUGGCAAGUUGACCUACUACCUCAAUAUUUGAGACUAGAGUUUCUGGGGCAUCUUAUGGACCAGAGAAUUAUUUUUUGUGAGAAGAAGUUAGUAGCUAUACACAGAAACUUCAAAAUUAUCAGUUUGUUUUAGUUACAAACCCAUAGCGGGUAAUGACUCCCAUAUUCUAAUGUAUACAGGCUUUCCAACCUGUAUUAUAUGUAUGACAUUGUAUAAAGCAGUAUAAAGUAUAAAGUAAAAAAUCCAAAGCAUAGCUUUUGAUGACCUUACUGAAGUUAAGGUUAAACUUACUACAUGAAGAUUUGAUAGCAAUUCAGCAAUUGCAAUAAAUGUUGUAAUGGCAUGGAUUUAUGCAAUACAUGAAAUAUUUUUCAAUAAAUUAAUGGAAACUAUACCCCUAGAAAUACAAAUUAAGUCUUCCUCCCUGCAGCUUUUGAUAAUUUUAGAAAUUGCCGAAUAAUAUUGAACUGUACUGAAAUCUAUUCAGCAACAUGUACCAACGAGUAGCAUGGAAAAACAACGCUCUUAUAAACAUCAGAAUACCUGGAAAUUAUUGGUGGGUGUUGCUUCUAAUGGUGUUUUUGUGAAAAAGGCUGUGAAGGUUGUGAAGCAGAUGGUUCCUGGAGAUUUAAUAUUGGCAGAUAAGGGCUUUUUGAUAGAAGAGCUUCUUGCAGCAGGUGUACUCAGCAAUAGUAUAUGAACCACUCAGAAUUGCUAGAGGAUUCAUAUAGAGAGGGCAAUAGUGGAAUAAAAUAUUUUAAUAUUUUACAGACAAUUCCAUAUUAUUACUGCUAAUAAAAAGGUGAAAUACAUGCUGGAUAUCUAUAAUCUAUUUCUUAUUAUGUAAAUAGUUGUUUCAGCUGAAUAAAUCUGAGGUUUAAUAUUUACAUCAGUUAUUUUAUUACACAUUUCAAUAAAAUUAUGUAUAUUCUUAACUAAUCAAAAAUUGAUUACUUUCAU